AGGGCACCACCAGGAGUGGAGCCUGCGGCUUAAUUUGACUCAACACGGGGAAACUCACCCGGCCCGGACACCGGAAGGAUUGACAGAUUGAUAGCUCUUUCUUGAUUCGGUGGAUGGUGGUGCAUGGCCGUUCUUAGUUGGUGGAGCGAUCUGUCUGGUUAAUUCCGAUAACGAACGAGACUCUAGCCUAUUAAAUAGACGUCGGGUUCUCUGCACUCGACGGUCUUCUUAGAGGGACAAGGUGCUUUUAGCACCGCGAAACAGAGCAAUAACAGGUCUGUGAUGCCCUUAGAUGUCCGGGGCCGCACGCGCGCUACACUGAAGGAAGCAGCGUGUAACAACCUUGUUCUAACGAACUGGGUAACCCGUGGAACUUCCUUCAUGAUUGGGAUAGGGGUUUGCAAUUUUGCCCCUUGAACGAGGAAUUCCCAGUAAACACUAGUCACCAGCUAGUGCUGAUUACGUCCCUGCCCUUUGUACACACCGCCCGUCGCUACUACCGAUUGAAUGGUUUAGUGA
rnacentral:rRNA from 1 species